GUAGUCAUAUGCUUGUCUCAAAGAUUAAGCCAUGCAUGUCUAAGUAUAAAUAAAUUUAUAUUGUGAAACUGCGAAUGGCUCAUUAAAUCAGUUAUGAUCUACGUGACAUAUUCUUUACUACUUGGAUAACCGUGGUAAUUCUAGAGCUAAUACAUGCAAAAAAACCCAAACUUACGAAUGGGUGCACUUAUUAGAUAAAGCCAACGCUGGGUAAAACCAGUUUCCCUUGGUGAUUCAUAAUAAUUAAGCGGAUCGCAUGGCCUUGUGCUAGCGACAGUCCACUCGAUUUUCUGCCCUAUCAUGGUUGAGAUUGUAAGAUAGAGGCUUACAAUGCCUACAACGGGUAACGGGGAAU
rnacentral:rRNA from 2 species